UACAGAGGUCUCAAGCGUUGUUCGGAUUCAUUGGGCGUAAAGGGUGCGUAGGCGGUCAAGUAAGUCAGCGGUGAAAUCCGGCAGCUCAACUGUCGAUGUGCCAUUGAUACUGCAUGACUUGAGUACUGAUGAGGUAGGCGGAAUUGACGGUGUAGCGGUGAAAUGCUUAGAUAUCGUCAAGAACACCGAUAGCGAAGGCAGCUUACUAAGCAGUAACUGACGCUGAUGCACGAAAGUGUGGGGAUCAAACAGG
rnacentral:rRNA from 1 species